rnacentral:rRNA from 1 species
CUUAAACAGCCCGUCUGGAAACACGGACCAAGGAGUCUAGCAUGUAAGCGAGUGUUAGAGUGUCAAACUCGAGCGCGUAAUGAAAGUGAAUGGUUGCUUGCAGCCUGAGGUGGGAUCUCCUCGUAUUGCGGGGGGCGCACCAUCGACCGAUCACAUUUUCGGAUGAGAUUUGAGUAUGAGCUUUUCUGCUGGGACCCGAAAGAUGGUGAACUAUGCCUGAGUAGGGUGAAGCCAGGGGAAACCCUGGUGGAGGCUCGUAGCGAUUCUGACGUGCAAAUCGAUCGUCAAAUUUGGGUAUAGGGGCGAAAGACUAAUCGAACUAUCUAGUAGCUGGUUCCCUCCGAAGUUUCCCUCAGGAUAGCUGGAGCUUGUGCAGUUUUAUCGGGUAAAGCGAAUGAUUAGAGGUUUGGGGGCUGAAACAGCCUUCGCCUAUUCUCAAACUUUAAAUAGGUAAGAAGCCGGGUGGUGUUGUCUUAAUUUGACCCCCGGCAUCGAAUGAAAGCUCCAAGUGGGCCAUUUUUGGUAAGCAGAACUGGCGAUGCGGGAUGAACCGGACGCGUGGGUUAAGGUGCCUAACUGGUCGCUCAUU